rnacentral:rRNA from 1 species
CAUUACCUAGAGUUGUAGGCUUUGCCUACCAUCUCUUACCCAUGUCUUUUGAGUACCUUCGUUUCCUCGGCGGGUCCGCCCGCCGAUUGGACAAACUUAAACCCUUUGUAAUUGAAAUCAGCGUCUGAAAAAACAUAAUAGUUACAACUUUCAACAACGGAUCUCUUGGUUCUGGCAUCGAUGAAGAACGCAGCGAAAUGCGAUAAGUAGUGUGAAUUGCAGAAUUCAGUGAAUCAUCGAAUCUUUGAACGCACAUUGCGCCCCUUGGUAUUCCAUGGGGCAUGCCUGUUCGAGCGUCAUUUGUACCUUCAAGCUCUGCUUGGUGUUGGGUGUUUGUCUCGCCUUUGCGUGUAGACUCGCCUUAAAACAAUUGGCAGCCGGCGUAUUGAUUUCGGAGCGCAGUACAUCUCGCGCUUUGCACUCAUAACGACGACGUCCAAAAAGUACUUUUUACACUCUUGACCUCGGAUCAGGUAGGGAUACCCG